rnacentral:tRNA from 1 species
AGAGGGUUAGUUUAAAAAAAAAACAUUAAUUUGUCAAAUUAAAAUUAACUCUGUUACUUUCUU